ACACGUGGCAUGUGGUAUCCCACUAAUUAGCUAUUUUAAACAUGUGACAAGUGGUAUGACACUGUAUUGAUGUAUGUGAAAUGUAUAGAGUCUUUCAGUUAUCAGAUAAUA
rnacentral:lncRNA from 1 species